rnacentral:ncRNA from 1 species
UGGAAAGCUUAGAUGAGGAAUAGUAACUUGUACAGCAUCUUACAGAGAGCCGGAGCUUGGGUGGAAGCCGGUAGAUGUUCGUCUGGAGAACUCGCCUCGGAGCUAGAAGGUGAAUCGCCUGAUCCCCGAUCAAGGUGCUAGCUGGAUCGUCUCACCCGCGUUAAGGGGCAGAGUGAACACAGGUAAAGUAUGCCUUGUGUUAACUAGGGUGGUACCACGGGAAUUAUACCUCUCGUCCCUAGC